rnacentral:lncRNA from 1 species
CAAAUCUAAAAGUUGAAAAAGAAAUAAAAAAUGUCUUGAAUAGACCAAGAAUUCUGCCCCUAACUUUGCUAGGCAAAUAAGUACUGUAUAAUUUUUCAGGAAAAAGUAAAACACUUAGUAUUCUGUAAAUUUAAAUUUUGUCUUGUUUUAUGUCAACUUCUUUGGAGAGAAAUUCUACUUCAGCAUGAAAAUAAAUCAAUUUUAGGUAAAUAGUUACUCAUGAGGUAAUAACAAUAUUGAGUAAUUUAUGUUUUAGUAUUUCUGGGCUAUAUAAAAAAUUUCUCAUGUUUUGUUGACAAAACUUCUCCAAAUUCUUUUCACUACGAAUUUUACUAAUUAUUUCUGUUCUGAUAAUGUACCUUUUUCCAUUUAUACCACAGUCACUUCCUUCUAAAUAGGUUGCACCACUUAUAGUGUGUCCUUGAUGAAAAGGUUGACGACGCGCUUUGAAUGAAAACAGGACAACAUAGAGGCUUUGAUAUUGGGAUUGAAACAACAGGCGUUUAUAAACAGAGAUCUUUGAGUUGAAAGAAAGUUAAUUGUCGGCUGGUCGUGGUGGCUCACGUCUGUAAUCCCAGCACUUUGGGAGGCCGAGGAGGGUGGAUAACUUGAAGUCAGGAGUUCGAGACUAGCUUGGCCAACAUGGUGAAACCCUGUCUCCACUUGUAAUACAAAACUUAGCCGGGCAUGGUGGGACGCGACGGUAAUCCCAACUACUUGGGAGGCUGAGGCAAGAGAAUCGCUUGAACCCGGGAGGCAGAAGUUGCAGUGAGCUGAGAUUGCACCAUUGUACUCCAGUCUGGCGACAGUGUGAGAUCACAUCUCAAAAAUAAUAAUAAAAAUAAAAAAGAAAGUUAAAUGUAAUGUGGGUGGAAUGAUAUAAGAAAUUUAAGGACUUAAGGGCUCUGUAAAUCAGUGAUUCUUCUGAUUGGCAUUUGUUAGUUAACUAGCAAAAAAAAAAAAUCUAUGAUUUGUAAAAACUCAGUUGAUUAAUUGACAUGUAAUUUGAAUGAGCUGAAAUAACACAAGGUUAAUUAACCUGAAUUAACAGAAGAUGAAAUUGUUUGGGUCAUUCUCUUGUCUGACUAAUGGGUAGCUUUUAUUUCUUAGUCAUUUAGAAAAUAAACUAUCCAGGAUUUUUCUCUUGCUUUUUCUUUUUGUUUAAAAAAUAGUUUACCAUGGAAACUGAUGAAUGAUUUCACUUCAUAUUAUAUUGACUUCAAUAUGCUAUUUCCAUAGAUCAAAGUGAAGUUACUUAUAAUAGAAAACAAAAUAAGUUUCCAUUAUUAUUUAGCAAAAGCUAGAUAUAAUAUUAAUCACAAAAUCUUCAUCACAAAGAAAUUCCAUGCUAAGUAUCUAUCUUAUCUCAUAAAGUGA